UACGUAGGGAGCAAGCGUUGUCCGGAAUCAUUGGGCGUAAAGCGCGCGUAGGCGGCUCGAUAAGUCCGCUGUGAAAGUCAACGGCUCAACUGUUGGAUGCCGGUGGAUACUGUCGGGCUAGAGUACGGAAGAGGCAAGUGGAAUUCCUGGUGUAGCGGUGGAAUGCGCAGAUAUCAGGAGGAACACCUAUAGCGAAGGCAGCUUGCUGGGACGUUACUGACGCUAAGGCGCGAAAGCGUGGGGAGCGAACAGG
rnacentral:rRNA from 1 species